rnacentral:rRNA from 2 species
UAGGGAAUCUUCCGCAAUGGGCGAAAGCCUGACGGAGCAACGCCGCGUGAGUGAUGAAGGUUUUCGGAUCGUAAAGCUCUGUUGCCAAGGAAGAACGUCUUCUAGAGUAACUGCUAGGAGAGUGACGGUACUUGAGAAGAAAGCCCCGGCUAACUACGUG